CCUACGGGAGGCAGCAGUGGGGAAUCUUGCGCAAUGCGCGAAAGCGUGACGCAGCAACGCCGCGUGAGGGAAGACGGCCUUCGGGUUGUAAACCUCUUUCAGUUGGGACGAAGCCACGGCGGUUAAUACCCGUCUGUGGUGACGGUACCUUCAGAAGAAGCCCCGGCUAACUACGUGCCAGCAGCCGCGGUAAUACGUAGGGGGCAAGCGUUGUCCGGAAUCAUUGGGCGUAAAGCGCGUGUAGGCGGCUUGGUAAGUCCGCUCUGAAAGCCCGGGGCUCAACCCCGGGAGGCGGGUGGAUACUGUCAAGCUCGAGUCCGGAAGAGGCGAGUGGAAUUCCUGGUGUAGCGGUGAAAUGCGCAGAUAUCAGGAGGAACACCAAUGGCGAAGGCAGCUCGCUGGGACGUGACUGACGCUGAGACGCGAAAGCGUGGGGAGCAAACAGGAUUAGAUACCCUGGUAGUCCACGCCGUAAACGAUGGGCACUAGGUGUGGGAGGUGUCGACUCCUCCCGUGCCGAAGCUAACGCAUUAAGUGCCCCGCUGGGGAUACGGCCGCAGGCUAAAACNCAAAGGAUUGACGGCUGAGAGNGCGACGACGACGACGAGGGAGAGG
rnacentral:rRNA from 1 species